rnacentral:sRNA from 2 species
GCGAUGAGCUGAGUUGUGUAAGUCGAGAAACAUUCCUUUAUGGAGCGCACUAUGUGGAGUGUGGUUUUUCGCCUCAAUACGCAAAAAGACGUCUUGCUAUAUGCAGACGUC